CUCCUACGCCAAUCUGGAGGAUGUUUAUUGUCAAGAUACGGGGAAAUCAUUAAUGCCGAUACACUUGAGGGCCAGAGCGGCAUAUGGUACUUUUCGUGAACAAUAUAGGGGUGAUGAGAGGAAUCGGGAUAAGAUCACGGCAAAUCUCGAGUUAGUGGAGGGAUUUGAGACUGCAUCCAAGGAGGCUGC